GGCUUAACACAUGCAAGUCGAGGGGCAGCAUGGUCUUAGCUUGCUAAGGCCGAUGGCGACCGGCGCACGGGUGAGUAACACGUAUCCAACCUGCCGUCUACUCUUGGACAGCCUUCUGAAAGGAAGAUUAAUACAAGAUGGCAUCAUGAGUCCGCAUGUUCACAUGAUUAAAGGUAUUCCGGUAGACGAUGGGGAUGCGUUCCAUUAGAUAGUAGGCGGGGUAACGGCCCACCUAGUCUUCGAUGGAUAGGGGUUCUGAGAGGAAGGUCCCCCACAUUGGAACUGAGACACGGUCCAAACUCCUACGGGAGGCAGCAGUGAGGAAUAUUGGUCAAUGGGCGAGAGCCUGAACCAGCCAAGUAGCGUGAAGGAUGACUGCCCUAUGGGUUGUAAACUUCUUUUAUAAAGGAAUAAAGUCGGGUAUGGAUACCCGUUUGCAUGUACUUUAUGAAUAAGGAUCGGCUAACUCCGUGCCAGCAGCCGCGGUAAUACGGAGGAUCCGAGCGUUAUCCGGAUUUAUUGGGUUUAAAGGGAGCGUAGAUGGAUGUUUAAGUCAGUUGUGAAAGUUUGCGGCUCAACCGUAAAAUUGCAGUUGAUACUGGAUAUCUUGAGUGCAGUUGAGGCAGGCGGAAUUCGUGGUGUAGCGGUGAAAUGCUUAGAUAUCACGAAGAACUCCGAUUGCGAAGGCAGCCUGCUAAGCUGCAACUGACAUUGAGGCUCGAAAGUGUGGGUAUCAAACAGGAUUAGAUACCCUGGUAGUCCACACGGUAAACGAUGAAUACUCGCUGUUUGCGAUAUACUGCAAGCGGCCAAGCGAAAGCGUUAAGUAUUCCACCUGGGGAGUACGCCGGCAACGGUGAAACUCAAAGGAAUUGACGGGGGCCCGCACAAGCGGAGGAACAUGUGGUUUAAUUCGAUGAUACGCGAGGAACCUUACCCGGGCUUAAAUUGCAGAUGAAUUACGGUGAAAGCCGUAAGCCGCAAGGCAUCUGUGAAGGUGCUGCAUGGUUGUCGUCAGCUCGUGCCGUGAGGUGUCGGCUUAAGUGCCAUAACGAGCGCAACCCUUGUUGUCAGUUACUAACAGGUUCCGCUGAGGACUCUGACAAGACUGCCAUCGUAAGAUGUGAGGAAGGUGGGGAUGACGUCAAAUCAGCACGGCCCUUACGUCCGGGGCUACACACGUGUUACAAUGGGGGGUACAGAGGGCCGCUACCACGCGAGUGGAUGCCAAUCCCCAAAACCUCUCUCAGUUCGGACUGGAGUCUGCAACCCGACUCCACGAAGCUGGAUUCGCUAGUAAUCGCGCAUCAGCCACGGCGCGGUGAAUACGUUCCCGGGCCUUGUACACACCGCCCGUCAAGCCAUGGGAGCCGGGGGUACCUGAAGUGCGUAACCGCGAGGAGCGCCCUAGGGUAAAACUGGUGACUGGGGCUAAGA
rnacentral:rRNA from 1 species